rnacentral:misc_RNA from 1 species
GAAAUGCGAUACUUGGUGUGAAUUGCAGAAUCCCGUGAACCAUCGAGUCUUUGAACGCAAGUUGCGCCCGAAGCCAAUAGGCCGAGGGCACGUCUGCCUGGGUGUCACACAUUUGCUUGCCCCCACCACUCACUCCUUGAUGAGAUGUGCUGGUUUUUGGGCGGAAAUUGGCCUCCCGUGCCUUGUGCGGCUGGUGCAAAAGCGAGUCUCCGGCGGUGGACGUCGUGACAUCGGUGGUUGUAAAAUACCCUCUUGACUUGUCGCACGAAUCCGCGUCAUCUUAGUGAGCUCUAGGACCCUUGGGCGCUACACAAUCUGUUCGCCCUAACUGUGACCCCAGGUCAGGCGGGACUACCCGCUGAGUUUAA